AACGCGAAGAACCUUACCAGCUCUUGACAUGUCCCGUAUGAGUACCAGAGAUGGAACUCUUCAGUUCGGCUGGCGGGAACACAGGUGCUGCAUGGCUGUCGUCAGCUCGUGUCGUGAGAUGUUGGGUUAAGUCCCGCAACGAGCGCAACCCUCGCCCUUAGUUGCCAUCAUUUAGUUGGGCACUCUAAGGGGACUGCCGGUGAUAAGCCGCGAGGAAGGUGGGGAUGACGUCAAGUCCUCAUGGCCCUUACGGGCUGGGCUACACACGUGCUACAAUGGCGGUGACAGUGGGAUGCAGAGGGGUAACCCCGAGCAAAUCUCAAAAAAGCCGGUCUCAGUUCGGAUUGGGGUCUGCAACUCGACCCCAUGAAGUCGGAGUCGCUAGUAAUCGCGAAUCAGCAACGUCGCGGUGAAUACGUUCCCGGGCCUUGUACUACACCGGCUAC
rnacentral:rRNA from 1 species